CCUACGGGUGGCAGCAGUGAGGAAUAUUGGUCAAUGGACGAGAGUCUGAACCAGCCAAGUAGCGUGAAGGAUGACUGCCCUAUGGGUUGUAAACUUCUUUUAUAAAGGAAUAAAACGAGGUACGUGUGCCUUUUUGCAUGUACUUUAUGAAUAAGGAUCGGCUAACUCCGUGCCAGCAGCCGCGGUAAUACGGAGGAUCCGAGCGUUAUCCGGAUUUAUUGGGUUUAAAGGGAGCGUAGAUGGGUUGUUAAGUCAGUUGUGAAAGUUUGCGGCUCAACCGUAAAAUUGCAAUUGAUACUGGCAGUCGUGAGUACAGUUGAGGUAGGCGGAAUUCGUGGUGUAGCGGUGAAAUGCUUAGAUAUCACGAAGAACCCCGAUUGCGAAGGCAGCUUACUAAACUGUGACUGACAUUGAUGCUCGAAAGUGUGGGUAUCAAACAGGAUUAGAUACCCCAGUAGUC
rnacentral:rRNA from 1 species